UGCUCCAUUCCUCAGUCCUCUCUCGAUUGCUUGCCUGUUUGGGCUGCACCAUCCUCAAAGAAGUCAUCUCCCUCUUCAUCGAGAGCAGAGCUCUCUCUUCUCCGCCAAACACCAGCAACUUCACCGCUUUAGCCACCACUAACCCCAGAAGUGAGAAGGCCUACCUACUCCAAACUCAUAGUCAUCUCCAACUGGGUAUCUUACAGUUGAGAAGAACGAGCAACUCUUUGUGAUUUAUGAAGCUAUUUUGAGAGUUCAAACUUGAUAAGGGAGAAGCCACCAAUUACUUCUUGAUCAGAUUAUUCCUGUGUUUGCACCAAAUCGCAACACCCUUAUCCUUCCAGAUUUGGAUUUUUAUUUUUUUAUGCUAAGAGGAGAACUAGAGAAGAUGUAUUUGCAGAACUUGAUUUUGGCCACUCAACUUAGACUUAUGAUAUUUUGGAUUAAUAAGGUGAG